GAUGAACGCUGGCGGCGUGCCUAAUACAUGCAAGUCGAGCGAACGGACGGGAAGCUUGCUUUUCUGAUGUUAGCGGCGGACGGGUGAGUAACACGUGGAUAACCUACCUAUAAGACUGGGAUAACUUCGGGAAACCGGAGCUAAUACCGGAUAAUAUUUUGAACCGCAUGGUUCAAAAGUGAAAGACGGUCUUGCUGUCACUUAUAGAUGGAUCCGCGCUGCAUUAGCUAGUUGGUAAGGUAACGGCUUACCAAGGCAACGAUGCAUAGCCGACCUGAGAGGGUGAUCGGCCACACUGGAACUGAGACACGGUCCAGACUCCUACGGGAGGCAGCAGUAGGGAAUCUUCCGCAAUGGGCGAAAGCCUGACGGAGCAACGCCGCGUGAGUGAUGAAGGUCUUCGGAUCGUAAAACUCUGUUAUUAGGGAAGAACAUAUGUGUAAGUAACUGUGAACAUCUUGACGGUACCUAAUCAGAAAGCCACGGCUAACUACGUG
rnacentral:rRNA from 1 species